rnacentral:rRNA from 1 species
GACGGAGGAUGCAAGCGUUAUCCGGAAUGAUUGGGCGUAAAGCGUCCGCAGGUGGCAGUUCAAGUCUGCUGUCAAAGACCGAGGCUUAACUUCGGAAAGGCAGUGGAAACUGAACAGCUAGAGUAUGGUAGGGGCAGAGGGAAUUCCUGGUGUAGCGGUGAAAUGCGUAGAGAUCAGGAAGAACAUCGGUGGCGAAAGCGCUCUGCUGGACCAUAACUGACACUCAGGGACGAAAGCUAGGGGAGCGAAUGGG